rnacentral:rRNA from 1 species
UACGUAGGGUGCAAGCGUUAAUCGGAAUUACUGGGCGUAAAGCGUGCGCAGGCGGUUUGUUAGACUGAUGUGAAAUCCCCGGGCUCAACCUGGGAACUUGCAUUUGUGACUGCAUCGCUGGAGUGCGGCAGAGGGGGAUGGAAUUCCGCGUGUAGCAGUGAAAUGCGUAGAUAUGCGGAGGAACACCGAUGGCGAAGGCAAUCCCCUGGGCCUGCACUGACGCUCAUGCACGAAAGCGUGGGGAGCAAACAGG